rnacentral:rRNA from 1 species
CAGCCGCCGCGGGAAUACGAGGGGGGCAAGCGUUGUUCGGAAUUAUUGGGCGUAAAGGGCGCGUAGGCGGUUUGGCAAGUUUCGUGUGAAAUCUUCGGGCUCAACUCGAAGUCUGCACGGAAAACUGCCGGGCUUGAGUAUGGGAGAGGUGAGUGGAAUUUCCGGUGUAGCGGUGAAAUGCGUAGAUAUCGGAAGGAACACCUGUGGCGAAAGCGGCUCACUGGACCAUAACUGACGCUGAUGCACGAAAGCUAGGGGAGCAAACAGGAUUAGAUACCCCGGUAGUCCCUGUCUCUUAUAC